CGAAACUUUUCUCCGAAGUUUCAUUAAAGCCCGCGAAACUUUUUCAUCUCCGUACCCAUCCCGAGGUUUCAUAAAAUUCAUAAAAUGGACGGCGUGCAGAUAAAAAGACUCGGUUUCCAGUGGCCUAGUUCCUCGUAGUAUACGAAAAAUAACCCCGAGGCGAAGAGGGCCUCGAAUAGAUGAUAGUCAAUGACGGUAUUUCUAUAGGGACUUGCCCGUGGCGAGACUUUCAGGUAGGUAUGCGGGUAGAGAAAUUCUGCCGGGGGUAAUCGACACGCUUGAAAUUACUUCUGUUUCCUGUCUUCACCCUUCUUUAAUAACUAAUCGUUCAGUUAUCGUACAUUCCCCUCAGUGCGCGCAUCUCUCUUUUCCUGACAAAUAUUCCCAGUUUGUGACUAUAAUGAUAUGUCUCUGGACCGACUCGUAUUCGAUACUCGUAACUGUGGUCGUAUGUUAGUAGAAACGUGCGUUAAUAGAAACUAGCUCUUUGAAAUAUGUUGGAAAAAUUUGAAUGGGAUGGAGCGAAAUUUUAAUACUCUCGUAUUGCUUGGGAUUCGAAGAAUUUUUCGAGGUGCAGCUUCGUAUCGAUUCGGCAAUAAUCGGACAUGAUCGGUUCAAUUCGUGUUCGAUCCUUUAGCCGAUUGUGUCCGAUUAUUGUCGAAUAAAUCCGAAGUUAGUCAAUUCAGUUUCAUGUACUUAGUUUAUAUUUAUAUUAGAUUUUGGAAUGCAAGAAAUUGCAAGUUUCAAAAUAUCCUUCUCGAUUUUCGUCGAAACAACAUUUUAACUAUUAAACGAUAGAGAAUGCGUUCGGUUAUCCGGAUAAUUGUUACAAACGGAAGCAUCAAUCGAAUUCGUAUCGAAUCGGAAAUUUGCAAAGGUAAUGAUUUCUGUUAAAGCUGUACUCAAUUGACUUUCUCUUCGAGUAAAUUAAAUCUUAAUUCUGUCGAGCUAGUGUACAAUGGAAAAUCGUAGACUAGUGGAAUUGAAUUCUUCGGUGUCUCGCCACUGUCUAAAAUAUUGCUGACAACGAAUAUAAAUGUAAACGCUUGUGAAUAUUUCUCAUUUCGCGCCCCUAGAAAAUCUCAUUCCACUACCGAUAUUCGACCAUUAUUUGACCUGUUCCAUUUACGAUUUCGAACAGUAGUCGCGUUACAAUUGUUCUAUAAUCAGUUUCAUUGACCGGGCCAGGCUUUUCUUAAUGACGUUGGCAAACUUCGUUGGCUGUUGGAGCGAAACACGUUUAGAACGUAUUAUGUUGUUGACUAACAGGACCAUGGCAUAAUGUUCGCACAGUGAAAUUAAACGGUUCAGAAACUUCUGUAAUCUGCCACGUAAACCUUCUCAGUAGUGGGGUUAAUGGGAGAAUGUUGAAAGAUUUACGAAAGUUGAAUUUCUUACUCUGAAAUUCAUAGAAACUUUGCUUUUUCAUAAUGGUUCCUAGUUUUCUACAAUUUUAAUCAUUUUUUAAUAUUUUUCACAUGAGAUCAAAAUUAAUUGCAUUCUAUUAAAAAAAAAAAGAUAAAAUUGUUCGUUAUUUAAAAUAUAUUUUACGAAAAUAGUGUAGCGCAUUUCGGUGAAAAAAAAUAAUAUCGGGUGACUGACGAACGUUUCCUGAAAACACUGCGUGCCAUCGGGCGAUUAACUCGAGGAAAAAUUGGCCUCACCGCGGGAAAAAAAAAGUGGGCGUCGCAGCCGAUGAACUCUGCUCGUUUCUUUUCGCCUCGGGCCUUUUAACGAUUUCGCGCCCAGACUUUUCUCUUUCUCUUCCUCUCUUUCUCUCUCGAAUGCGAAGCUCGACGCUUCAUGACGAAGAUUCCCCAAGCUUUGGACUAAAAUUCUCCAACGGACACGCGAUAACAGCCAGUGUGUGUUACACGAUAAUCGCGAACGUUACGCCUAUGGUGGAAUUAAACGGUUUGCGGUUUCGUAUAAUCCAUUAUACAAGCCAUUGAUGAUGCAGUGUGAAUCUGGUAACGGAAUAACAAGGUAACGGAGAUCCAGGAUUUCACGUGGCAGACAGUCUGAGCUUGGAAUUCGUGGAACAAGUGGCCCGAAUAAUAAUGCUCGUAUGUGUACGCAUAUUUGUUUCUGCUCCCUUUGAGACGAAAUUGCUCGAGAAGAACGCGCUUCUCAGACAUUCGUCAAUUCUCUUUUUCUAUUUCUUUCUUUCUUUUUUCAACAAACUCGAACAAUGUGCAUAGAGAAAGAGAGAAAACUAGGACAAGACGUAGCUCUUUUCUUCUAAGAGUAAAGAUAAAAAGAAGAAAGAUGAUUGGUCGAGAAAAUUAUUUAUAGUUCUCGAUUAUAACGAGAGAAGGCGCAACGAAUCGGUAAAGAAAAUAAGAAACAUGGCGAAUCAUCGAAAUCCACUUGAUUUUCUCGCGUGAAUGUUACAAAAAACAAAAUAAUUUGCGUUCUUUUGUCUUGUUGGAAUUAAAAAAGUGAAUUCAGAUAUAUAUGUGUUGAAAUGUGAAUAUUAAUUGUAAUCACUAUAUAUAACAGUGUUGUGAAAAAUGAGAAGAAACAUUCAAAUAUUUGCGACGCGAGAUACCCAACGGCUUUUUUUCGUAUCGGUCGAUCAACGAAUUCGUGUCUUCUGUUUUAAUUACCUCGAAUGAAAUUCUUUGUGCAUCGCUACAAACAAAGGAACUAAGAGUCAACAUCGUUGCAUAGGAUGGAUGAUGCUGUUCCACUCGUGAAGGAUUUUCGCCUAUACGAUAUAUUCCACUUUCACGAUUGCGUGUAACUACCCUAAAUAAUUUCCAACCUCGAAGGGGGAUAGAAGCGAGUGGAAAAGAGUGGAGCGAUCUCGAAAUUGGAGAAAAAAACAAGGAGCAACACAUCUCGAAGCGGAAAAUCGUAUGCGCACGCCUUGUAAAAAUAUCCAAGGGGAUCUGGAGAAGAUUAGUUAACAAGAUUACUUACGACUGUCAGCGCUCUGUAAGCAAGUUUCUGAAUAGGGGUAUGGCGGGUUGUGGCGCGGAUGAUCUACUAUGCAGUCAGCCAGCCAUGUCAACGAUAUACAUUCAGCCCCGGCCCGUGGUGCAAGUAGGGCUGCAAUGUCUGCGAAACGGUAAUGGAACGGCAAACGACCUGGGAUUUACCCCUUGGAACAUUCUAACAAAGCUCUAGGCCACCGCAGCAGCCACCUACCACGAAGAGAGGAGAAAAAAAAUUGAACGGAUGGGAUGCUUGCAUGCUAUCUUCGACUCGAAUGGAUCGAGUUAAUCCUGUCGAGAUGAAUUUUAAAUCUUUGCUAAUCUCCAUUCGUGAUUGUCGUUUCGAUGAUCAAUCGAAAAUGUGAGAGAGAGUAAAUGUGAUGAUAUUUAUUGACUCUCCAAGGUGCCAUACUUUCUUUACGCCCGAGCUGACAUAGAUAACGGUCUAAAAGCCUCGCGAGGUGAAGUCGACGAUAUGACGGCCACGAAAGAGCUCGUAAAAAUCGCUAACGGAAUUAAUGGCCUCGAUGGCCGUGAAGACGAGGAGCAACAACGUCGUUAAAAAAUCCAUCCAGUGACGACAGGCCAACGUUUCCAACGUCAAUUACGUUUUCGCACGUCGAAAGGAGAAAAUUUUUCGAAGGGUUGGCGAACUUUGUUCGCGGUGGUAAUCCGUUUUAAAUCGACAGGGAAGGGGGGAGGGGCGAAAAGUUGCGGAGAAAAAUGUCGCAGCGUCGACGAGAUGGAAUUGAAUUCGGUCGAAUUCAGAACGCCUUGUACUAGGGAGCUUCGAGGUACACGUAGGAAUAUAGUAGGGAAUCACCUUGGGAGAUAUUUUUCGAGGGAGGGGAAACUAUAGUGGUGACGCGCGUUGUUGGAAUCUAUUUAUUUAGAGUGCAAAUAUGUUCGAUAACAUAGUAAUUUUCACUCUUAAUGUAGCGUCUAUUUUAGUGAAAAAUAAUUCUUGAAGACAAGUUUCUAAAGUUUUGCUUUCAAAUGUAUUUACAUGAUAAGAAUUGCUGGUUAACUUUGGAUUGUUCCAUUCAACAUCUAUGUUUACUCUUUGAAGAAACUCUUUCAAGAGCAACAACUUUAAUUUUAAUUUUAAUUUUAAUUUUUCUCAAAUAUAUUUGUAUUAUAAGAUUAGACAAGUUUUGCAAGUCUUAAAGUUUAAAUUAAAUUGUAUUAUGGUAAAGUUUAUUUGGUAUUUAUAUUAGCAAAAGUGAUAAUUUUGAAAUAGAAGGAAUGACGUGUCAACGAUCUUUGCGAUGUAGGAUUCAAUUUCCUUGUUUAAUUAUUAUAGUUACGUUGAUCGUGGUUAGUAUUUGGAUGGAUGCCAUUUGGAAAGUCCGUGUAUUGAUAUCAAAAUGUUUCUUAAACUAUAAACUUCGGCUAAUGACCGCAUUGAUUAUGACAAUCGAUAUUGAUUACAUAACGAAUAAUAAACAAAUAGCAAAUAAUAAUUUUGCCAGCAGAGGGAUCCAAUGAUUGCAAUUUGAUAAUCAAGUUAAUACUUGAUUGUGUACAGUAGCUCGAAAUCCACUUUAAACCACUUUAGAGUCUCAACUAAUAAUUACAACAGUAGAUUAAAUACCAAAUAACAAACAAAUAUCAAAUAAUAAUUUUGCCACGUAGAAAUCCACUGAUUCCAAUAUAAUAACCAAAGUUAAACUACAUUGGUCACAGUUAAUACUUGGUUGAUAUAUCAUUUAAUAAUGAUUCAAAACUCAUUUAUCUAACAACUACGUUAAAUAAUGAACAACAGAACAUUUAAUUUCGUCUAACAUACUUUCAAGAAAAAUAUAAAAAUAAUUUACAUUAUUUAUGUCUGUAUUUAUAUAUGUAUGUAUUUAUAUAUGUGAUAAGUUAUAUUCGAAACGGUUAUGUAGAGGAAUAUGUAAUUAAAAUUUAAUUACGUUAAUCACUAUAUAAUAUAUAAUUGGCAAUAAUUCAGAACUAUCUUUAAUUUAACAAAUAUAUUAAAUAACGAACAACAAAUAAAACAUGGAUACUUAUAAAUCCUAAUUAGUUUCAAGAAACGAUAAAAACGACUCUGUGUCUAUCAUCUACUGUGUAUAUCGUACACAACAGGUUGCGAUAGUCGAAUCCUGAAACGGUGUCACGUGGAAGAACAGGGGUGCGUGGAUGUAACAACGGAUUGGUGGCACCCUUCGAUGAUCCUUAGGGGGAUAUAGACAAUGAUUAAUCACGCUCGAGUGGCUUCGCUUCCCUCUUGGUGAUGCUCCCUAUGUAUCGGUCCAUCUCUUCCUCCCUUGGCCAGCAUCCACGGGAUGAAGGUUUAUGCGCAUUCGUUUCAGAUUUCAAACGCUUUGCCACUUCGAACAUCGGUAAAGCGUAGGAAUUCUAAAACAAAUACCACGCUUUUAUCUCGUUGCUUUCCUUGCUCCCGUUUCUUUCCUUUCUUUAACGUUCCUCCGUAGUAGUAAGUGUCGCUCGAUUCAUUCAUUUUCUCUCGAUCGAAAUCCAAUUCUUCCAAGAUGGAUAUCAGAUUAGAUUAGAUAAGAUUUUUUUUGUUCAAUAAGUUUUUUUGGAUUGAAAUGUUUGAAGGGGAGACAAGAUUUAUAGUGGGGUUUUUAACAAUAUAUUAAAAUUUAAAUAAAAUGAUAUCGAUUGGAUUGAAAUGUACAUUUUGAUGUAUU